UGCCCGAUAGCCAAGCGGUAAGGCAACGGACUUUGACUCCGUCAUGCACUGGUUCGAAUCCAGUUCGGGCAGCCA
rnacentral:tRNA from 1 species